UCUCCGUUGGUGAACCAGCGGAGGGAUCAUUACAGGACUCGCAAGACUCCUUCACCCUGUGAACCUCACUACUAGCACUUUGCUUCGGCGGGUGUCCCGGCGAAGGUUUUCCCUCGCCGGGGCGCACACCCCACCGGCAGCCUUCUAUACUCUUUCUCUGUGCGUUGGCAUCUCAAGAAAAAACAAACAAGUUAAAACUUUCAACAACGGAUCUCUUGAUUCUG
rnacentral:misc_RNA from 1 species